rnacentral:rRNA from 1 species
UACGAAGGGGGCGAGCGUUGUUCGGAAUCACUGGGCGUAAAGGGUGCGUAGGCGGAUCUUUAAGUCAGGGGUGAAAUCCUGGAGCUCAACUCCAGAACUGCCUUUGAUACUGAGGAUCUCGAGUUCGGGAGAGGUGAGUGGAACUGCGAGUGUAGAGGUGAAAUUCGUAGAUAUUCGCAAGAACACCAGUGGCGAAGGCGGCUCACUGGCCCGGUACUGACGCUGAGGUGCGAAAGCGUGGGGAGCAAACAGG